rnacentral:rRNA from 1 species
GACGAACCGUGCAAACGUUGUUCGGAAUCACUGGGCUUAAAGGGCGCGUAGGCGGGCCAGCCAGUCUGUGGUGAAAGCCUCCAGCUUAACUGGAGAAGUGCCGUGGAUACUGCUGGCCUCGAGGAGGAUAGGGGCAUCUGGAACGGUCGGUGGAGCGGUGAAAUGCGUUGAUAUCGACCGGAACUCCGGUGGCGAAGGCGAGGUGCUGGGUCCUUUCUGACGCUGAUGCGCGAAAGCCAGGGGAGCAAAGCGGG